GGGGAGAGGAUCCGGUGUUCCUCUGCCGGGACGGGGCUCAGCUCCGCCGCUGGCGCUCUCAGGCUGAACGCUGCAACCAGAACCAGAACCGCUGUAGAGGCCAACAACCUCACCAACUUCCACCGGAGACCCGCCCGCAUGUCCGCCGUUAACGGUCGCUGCUGCGUGAGCGCCGUGAUUUCCGCUGAAUCACGGAAGCGAAGGAACGCGGAAAGGAGGAGCGCAGGGUUGUAUGGCAAGCCGUCCAGGUUUCUGAAGUUUGAUGGUCUAAUCUUCAUCUCUGCAAACUCGAUGGAGUGCUCAUGGCCUUUCCAGUGGAACCAGUUAACUCCCUGAAGAACAGAAAAUUAGAAGAAAAGAGGAUGUCAAGGUUUCAGAAGAUGUUCUUGAGGACCCAGACAAGUGUCCCACUUUGAUGGCAUUCUCAGGGCAAAAUUCGGUCAACUCGCAGCUCGUACUGCCCCCCUGCUGUGAUCUUGUGCAGGUUGGACAGACCUAUGGGAAAGAGAAGGUUUCUUUUUGAAGAAAACAUAAAUUUGUAUAGAAAAUGUUUUCACCUUAAAUGUUUUUACAUGAAACCAAACAUUCAUUUGUUCAGACAUUUAUUGGCAUAGAUCACUUCAAUGCAGAGUUAUGCUGAUGAAAUUGAUUCUAAUUGAUUACAUUUAUCAUAAAUAAUGUCUUUAAAAA